UUUUUGCUGUAAACACUGCCAUUUCAGAGAAAAUGCAUUGUUUACAUUAGAACCUAGUAAAAACUUCACUGACCACUCCUUAGAUGGCUGCUAGAGGUGCUUCCUAUCUCAGUCUUGCAUAGUGUGUAUCACAACAUUUAGUGUCUCCGCCCUCUGCAUGCAGACACUGAACUUUCCUCAUAGAUAUUCAUUGAUUCAACUAAUCUCUAUGAGGAG